GGGGAAUAUUGGACAAUGGACCAAGAGUCUGAUCCAGCAAUUCUGUGUGCACGAUGAAGUUUUUCGGAAUGUAAAGUGCUUUCAGUUGGGAAGAAAAAAAUGACGGUACCAACAGAAGAAGUGACGGCUAAAUACGUGCCAGCAGCCGCGGUAAUACGUAUGUCACAAGCGUUAUCCGGAUUUAUUGGGCGUAAAGCGCGUCUAGGUGGUUAUGUAAGUCUGAUGUGAAAAUGCAGGGCUCAACUCUGUAUUGCGUUGGAAACUGUGUAACUAGAGUACUGGAGAGGUAAGCGGAACUACAAGUGUAGAGGUGAAAUUCGUAGAUAUUUGUAGGAAUGCCGAUGGGGAAGCCAGCUUACUGGACAGAUACUGACGCUGAAGCGCGAAAGCGUGGGUAGCAAACAGGAUUAGAUACCCUGGUAGUCCACGCCGUAAACGAUGAUUACUAGGUGUUGGGGGUCGAACCUCAGCGCCCAAGCAAACGCGAUAAGUAAUCCGCCUGGGGAGUACGUACGCAAGUAUG
rnacentral:rRNA from 1 species